rnacentral:rRNA from 1 species
UUAAAUUGAAGAGUUUGAUCAUGGCUCAGAUUGAACGCUGGCGGCAGGCCUAACACAUGCAAGUCGAACGGUAACAGGAAGCAGCUUGCUGCUUUGCUGACGAGUGGCGGACGGGUGAGUAAUGUCUGGGAAACUGCCUGAUGGAGGGGGAUAACUACUGGAAACGGUGGCUAAUACCGCAUAACGUCGCAAGACCAAAGAGGGGGACCUUCGGGCCUCUUGCCAUCAGAUGUGCCCAGAUGGGAUUAGCUUGUUGGUGAGGUAACGGCUCACCAAGGCGACGAUCCCUAGCUGGUCUGAGAGGAUGACCAGCCACACUGGAACUGAGACACGGUCCAGACUCCUACGGGAGGCAGCAGUGGGGAAUAUUGCACAAUGGGCGCAAGCCUGAUGCAGCCAUGCCGCGUGUAUGAAGAAGGCCUUCGGGUUGUAAAGUACUUUCAGCGGGGAGGAAGGUGUUGUGGUUAAUAACCGCAGCAAUUGACGUUACCCGCAGAAGAAGCACCGGCUAACUCCGUGCCAGCAGCCGCGGUAAUACGGAGGGUGCAAGCGUUAAUCGGAAUUACUGGGCGUAAAGCGCACGCAGGCGGUCUGUCAAGUCGGAUGUGAAAUCCCCGGGCUCAACCUGGGAACUGCAUUCGAAACUGGCAGGCUUGAGUCUUGUAGAGGGGGGUAGAAUUCCAGGUGUAGCGGUGAAAUGCGUAGAGAUCUGGAGGAAUACCGGUGGCGAAGGCGGCCCCCUGGACAAAGACUGACGCUCAGGUGCGAAAGCGUGGGGAGCAAACAGGAUUAGAUACCCUGGUAGUCCACGCCGUAAACGAUGUCUACUUGGAGGUUGUGCCCUUGAGGCGUGGCUUCCGGAGCUAACGCGUUAAGUAGACCGCCUGGGGAGUACGGCCGCAAGGUUAAAACUCAAAUGAAUUGACGGGGGCCCGCACAAGCGGUGGAGCAUGUGGUUUAAUUCGAUGCAACGCGAAGAACCUUACCUGGUCUUGACAUCCACAGAACUUUCCAGAGAUGGAUUGGUGCCUUCGGGAACCGUGAGACAGGUGCUGCAUGGCUGUCGUCAGCUCGUGUUGUGAAAUGUUGGGUUAAGUCCCGCAACGAGCGCAACCCUUAUCCUUUGUUGCCAGCGGUCCGGCCGGGAACUCAAAGGAGACUGCCAGUGAUAAACUGGAGGAAGGUGGGGAUGACGUCAAGUCAUCAUGGCCCUUACGACCAGGGCUACACACGUGCUACAAUGGCGCAUACAAAGAGAAGCGACCUCGCGAGAGCAAGCGGACCUCAUAAAGUGCGUCGUAGUCCGGAUUGGAGUCUGCAACUCGACUCCAUGAAGUCGGAAUCGCUAGUAAUCGUGGAUCAGAAUGCCACGGUGAAUACGUUCCCGGGCCUUGUACACACCGCCCGUCACACCAUGGGAGUGGGUUGCAAAAGAAGUAGGUAGCUUAACCUUCGGGAGGGCGCUUACCACUUUGUGAUUCAUGACUGGGGUGAAGUCGUAACAAGGUAACCGUAGGGGAACCUGCGGUUGGAUCACCUCCUUACCU